rnacentral:rRNA from 1 species
GAUGAACGCUGGCGGCGUGCCUAAUACAUGCAAGUCGAGCGAACAGACGAGGAGCUUGCUCCUCUGACGUUAGCGGCGGACGGGUGAGUAACACGUGUAUAACCUACCUAUAAGACUGGGAUAACUUCGGGAAACCGGAUCUAAUACCGGAUAAUAUAUUGAACCGCAUUGUUCAAUAGUGAAAGACGGUUUUGCUGUCACUUAUAGAUGGAUCCGCGCCGCAUUGGCUAGUUGGUAAGGUAACGGCUUACCAAGGCAACGAUGCGUAGCCGACCUGAGAGGGGGAUCGGCAACACUGAAGCGGAGACACGCACCAGACACUGACGGGAGGCAGAGGUAGGGAAUCUACCGAAAUGGGCGAAAGCCUGACGGAGAAACGGCGCGUGAGUGAUGAAGGUCUUCGGAUCGUAAAACUCUGUUAUUGGGGAAGAACAAAUGUGUAAGUAACGAUGCACGACUGGACGUAACCGAAGAAGAAGGCCAGGCUAAAUUAGUG